UUUCCGUAGGUGAACCUGUAGAAGGAUCAUUGUCGUACCCUAGAAACAGAACGACCUGAGAACGAUGAAACAUCACUCUCGGUAGGCCGGUUUCUUAUUGUGCCUACCGAUUCCGUGGUUAUGCGUUCAUCCAUGCCCAAGACUUCAGUUUUGGUUGGAUCGUACGCAUAGCUUCCGGAUAUCACCAAACCCCACCACAAAAAGUGUCAAGGAAAAUGCAACUAAACAGCCUGCUUUCGCCAACCCGGAGAUGGUGUUUGUUCGGAAGCAGUGCUGCAAUGUAAAGUCUAAAACGACUCUCGGCAAUGGAUAUCUUGGCUCUC
rnacentral:misc_RNA from 1 species